rnacentral:lncRNA from 1 species
UUUAAUAGUAUUUUUCUCUCACAACAAAUCAACGAAUAGUACUUUUAGCCAUGCCUUUUCUGCUAAGCGAACAGGAUCUCCAAAGCAGGCUAAGCUUGAGGCCAUGGUAAUCACUACAACACCCAAGAACAUCGAUUUUACUUUUGUUGUCUACCAUCUCCUUUUGUUCGUUGUUCGAUUCAGCUACAAUCUUCUUGUUUGUCGAGGAGGAAGAGGAGGAAGAUCUAGCGGCGGCGGCGACGACGACAGUAGCAGCAGCAACAACAACAGCAACACAAGGAGGGAGAGCAGGAACCAAAAGGCAAGGACAACAUCCCAAAGACCCCAACGACGACACAUCCGAAACAGCCAGCCACUCGUUCCAUUUCCGGCAGCAGCAGCAGCAGGGGGAAGAAAGGACCAGGUGUUGUGCCAUAAUGUAGUAGUGCAGCUGCAGCCGCCAGCCACCUAUGUACUGUAAUUCUGUAUGGCACUAUAAUCGUCAAGUAAUAUUAC